UGGAGACGGGGGUUGUUUGGAUCGUCUGAACUCCGAGUGGGACUUCCUGAAGGAUUUAUUAGGAGGAAAGCCUUCCUGGAAGCAGCAGCAGAACAAACACAGGAUCCCUGGCUGGCAGAGCCUCGUGGCUUGCUGUCCACUAUUCCGGUGCAGUUACAUCUUGGAGAAAUGGUGCCACCCUUGGUUGAUCAGCUGGGGCUGAGAGGAGAAGGCGAUGAUGGAAUGCGAGUGAAGCUCAACAUCUCAGCAUUUUCCAGGAGCAAUAAACCUUCCUGUGAUGGCUGUGGUGUAAUCUGAAAAAAAGCAGAUCCGUUCAGAACUCCAGAAGGACUUGAAAACUGUCCUGCCCCGAACGAAAGCUGGAAUAUCGUGGGCUUUGAUGAACCAAGGAAAAGUGCCUUCAUCAGGACGCAGCAGUAAGCCUGCUGACUACUUAAGCCCUGCCUAGGUUCCUAGGAAAUGGGCAGGAAAAGUGCCUGCCACCUGCUGCUUGCUGGUGUGCUGUUUUGGCAGCAGGAGCUGUGGGAACACACAGGGGCAGGAGAACAAACACAUUACACACGAGGACUUCCAUCCUCCAGCCAGCAAGGUGCCGACACCUCACACUUGGUAAGUAUUCCCAGUAGACACGUGUCUCCUGGUUCUACAUUUGCCGGCUUGCACAUGUGGGGGGCUCAGGGAUGAUGAGGGAUCUUGAUGAUUGCGUUCCUUCCCUGGGCCCCCCAUUUUCUUCCCCGCCCUCCCUCCUUCUGCAUUUAAUGAGCACUUACUGUGCGGCAGGCACCGUUCUCUGCGCCUGGGAUAAAAGGAUGAGGGACAGGUGGUGCUGCAGGAGAAAUGCAGGGCACCACGUGGUUGGCUUGGUAACAGCUCCCCAAAGAUAGCCACAUCCUCACUCCCAGAACCUGUGACUGGCACCUUUCGUGGCAAAAGGGACUUUGCAGACAUGGUAACUUAAGGAUCUGAGCUGCACCAAACUUGACUAAAUGGAGGAGGGUUAAGUAAACUAUAAUUCUCCACCUGGUGCAAUAUUAGGAGAUCCUUGAAAUGAUCAUUUUCGAAAUUCCCGUUCCAAACGGUCUUAGAACUCUGUAUCUUCCUCUUAUACGACUUACCAUGAUUUUUAAUAAUUUAGCUGCCCGGUUACUGAAUUAAUGUCUGUUUCCCCUACUCCUUUGAUGGGGACAGUGCCCUUUUUGCUCACCGUUUCCUCUCAGCUGCCCAGCAUGGUGUCUGGCUUAUAGCAGGUGCAAAAUAAAAUUGGUUGAAUACAUGCCAAAUGAGGAUUUUUAGAUCCUUGAAACAACAGGCUGAGUGAACCAAGCAAAGCACAAAAGAGCACGAUGUGAAAAUGGAAGUGCAUGUGCAUAUAGAUGACUUCUAGAAGGCAGCUCUGGGAAUGUCACGUGUUUACGCCAGUAUGGUGGGACGCAGGGCUGAGACUUGUUCUUCCUGCUUUAUUUCCUCCAUGCUGUGCUUAUGCCCAGGGGGCCCUCCCUGUCCAUCCCAGAGGCUGCGCCUCUUGCAUCCCACUUGCUUCGGGUCUAGGAGAAGAGGAACAUCCACUUGGGGUGGGAAGACUUGGUUUGGAAGCUGUCACUCUCCUUCCUUCACCUGCUGCAGGACACUGAACAGUCUUCGAACCCCUCAUAGCUUAGUUGCUUCAAGUUGAAAAUGUGAUAACGGUACCUGCGCCCCUGCGUCUCUCUAACGAAAUGCUGUAACAAAUGCCUUGUGGAUGGGCGACCCCGCUGUAAAGUGUUCCAGGGCUGGCUGCUCCCCAUCCUUCUCUGACAUGACACCUGAGCCCCUGGUACUCUGCGGGGCCCUGCAGCUGCCCGCAUGCCCCGUGGACUGAAGGCGAAUGUGUGGCUCCACGGAGGUGCUCGGUGCACUUAGGGUUCCUACGUAGCCAUCUGAGAAUCCCUCUUGAAGGUAAACAGGGAGAUGACAGCUAAUUAACUCAGAGUGCUUCCACGGUGCUCAGCCCUACUACUCAUUGACUGGUCCAUCAGUCAUCCAGCAGUCUUUACUGAGUGCCUUCUGCAUACGGAUUGUGUCUUCAAUUAGCCCUCAGUGGCUGCUGACGCCACCCAGACUCUGAACUUGGAGGCAGCACGAGAGUCUCUGGACAUCUUGUGCUCAGGCUGCUGAGGGAGAGUCAGGGCGGUUCACCAAGGGGCUGAGGGGAGCCUUCCGACCUUGGAAGGGGACUUUUUCAUCCAGGGAUCCAGGCCGACUCUCCCCCUCCUUUUCUUCCAGAGGGUCCUUGGCGAGGUGUUAGAGGCUGGGUGCAUUUCCCAGGGCUGACAUACACGACAGAAGUGUAUUCUCCCACAAUUCCGGAGGCCAGAAGUCCAAAAUCAAGGUGUUGGCAGGGUCAUGCUUUCUCUAAAGCCUGUAGGGUAAGGGCCCUUCCUUGCCCCUUCCUAGUUUCCAGUGUCACCAGCCGUCCUGCGGGCCUUUGGCUCCCUCCAGUCUCGGCCUCCGUCCUCACUUGGGCUUCUUCUCUCUGUGUGUCUGUGAGUCUUUGCGUCCCUCUCUCCCUGGAAGGACCCUGGUCAUUGGGUGUAGUGCCCACCCUAAUCCAGGAUGGCCUCGUCGUCCCUUGAUUGCAUCUGCAAAGACCCCGAUCUCAAAGUAAGAUCACCCCAAGUACACAAAUACUUAGAUGGGGUCAGGAUUUCAGUGUAUCUCUUUGGAGGGAUACAGUUCAACCUAUAACAGAGCCCAAAGCGAAGCCAGCUCCUCCACCUCGCCCCGCCCCAGCGCAGUUGGCUCAGGGACCACUGCUUGGCUGCAUAGACGGAGGGCUUACUUUCCGAGAGGGACUGGGCAGCGCCCUUCCCAUUCGUUGUCCCGUUUGAUUCCGAGGCAGUCUUACGGUGCCUUAUGCAGAAAAUACUCAUCAGACACCUCCCGUGCCUGGCCCUGGAGGCGUGAAAGAUCCCUGAAGCCCUUGCCCACAGGGAUCUUAACGUCUUUAAUGCAGUGAAGAGGCAGGGAUGUGGGAAUAAGCAGUUCCAGUCGUUGCCACGUCUGAUGAAAAAGCAGAGCUCUGCAGGAGAGAACCUUCAGCUCAAGGUCUCGGCCCAGACAGUGACAUCACGGAGCCGCCCCCACCCCACCCCGCGGCCCAUGGGUGGGGAGGCAAGGAGGCUCCGAGAAGACCUUGCAGUCGGGGGAGGAGCAGCGGGGGUAGGGGGCGGGAGUGCGGGGAGAAGCUGGGCUGCAGGACGGGGAAUGAAGCCCCCCUGACUGGCCGCCCCCUGGGCACCAUGUGUGGGCCCCUCCUCUGGGCCCCUGGGAGGGAGGCUUUCUUCCUUGUGCCUGCGGUCAGAUCCCGCAUCUCCUUUCUGUCUUUGUUCUCUGGAUUCUUCCUGCCUUGGGUGUGUGAAAAGGGAGCCUCUUGGCAGCGUGCUCUGCUCUUAGAGGGCGCCACGCACCUGCACCCCUCUUCCCCUCCCUCCGGCCCCUCCGCCCUCCCUCCUCCUCCCUCCUCUCCUUACCUGGCCGCCACCUGACCCUCCUCCUCGUACAACUCGGUUCAGAGAAUAACCCACAGCAGCUGCCUUAGAGAAUCUUUCAAAGACACGCACCGGCCUGUGCCCUCCUUUCUUUCAGUGAAUACCCUUCAGCCACCCCCCACACGUGGUCCUCAGGUUCGUGCGCUCAUGUCUUCAUGGUCGUUACUUGGUUUCUAAGUAACGACCAGAGCCUUACUUGGUUUCUAAGGCUCUGGUGGGCACUGGCUGGGCUUCAGGAAAGGCCCCAUCUGGGCACUGAGAGAUGGGCAGGCAUUCCCUACCCCCGCCCUGGGGAGAAAUGUGGUCCAGCCACAAAAGCAGGAGAGACUCAGAGGAGACAUGGUGUAGAGCAGGUCCUGGCUCUUGCUGUUGAGAUGAGACCAUUCGAGGCCUCAAAGCAGAUCUGACUUGUGCUUUAACUCAGUCAUUCUAGCUGCUGCUGCACUGGAAAUGGGCUGAAAGUGGCAAAGGUGGAAGCAGACGGACCAGUUAAGAGACUGCUGCAGUGAGCCAGGGAAGGGACGAUGGUGACCUGGCCUCGAGGUCGCAGAGGGGCUUGUGAGAAGUGAUGGGAAGUGACUAUGUCAGGAAGGUAGACUUUGCUGGUGGGUUGGGUACGGGGCAUCAAGUAAAGGGUGAUCCCAGAAGUUUACUUUGAGCAAGUAAAGAAUGAAGUUUCCAUUUAUUCAUAUAAGGGACCCGUGAGGGGAGCAGGGAGUUCGGUGGGCAGGGGCGGAAUUGAGAUGGUUGAGAUGUUAGACAUCGUUAGACAUACAGGUGGAGACACUCGGAGAGCAGCUGGAUGUGUGAAUCUGGAGUGUGAAGGUGAAUAUCCUAUGUCAGUUCGGCUAGAUAUCCAGACAUUUGGUCAAACACCAGUUUAAGUAUCACUGUGAAGGCAUUUUUUGGAUGAGAUUAACAUUUACAGGAGUUGCUAUCGUGGCGCAGUGGUUAACCAA
rnacentral:lncRNA from 9 species